rnacentral:rRNA from 1 species
UACGUAGGGUCCGAGCGUUGUCCGGAAUUACUGGGCGUAAAGAGCUCGUAGGUGGUUUGUCGCGUUUGUCCGUGAAAACUCACAGCUCAACUGUGGGCGUGCGGGCGAUACGGGCAGACUGGAGUACUGCAGGGGAGACUGGAAUUCCUGGUGUAGCGGUGGAAUGCGCAGAUAUCAGGAGGAACACCAGUGGCGAAGGCGGCCGCCCUGGACCUGACCUGACGCUGAGGCGCGAAGGCGCGGGGAGCGAACGGG